CUGGUGAUGUUAUCUCAAGGUUCAGAAGACUGGGUGAUUUUCUUAAAGCCCCGGCUUCAUAUAGAAGCUCAACUUUCAUUUAUAAACUAAAUUCGUUUUUAGCCAUAUGGUCAUGGAGAAAAGUUUGAAAACGUGACCCAAGCUUUAAGGCAAAGUAAUAAAUCUCAUGAUUUUUAAACCAGUUGCAGGAUUGUUGAAGCAUGACUCAUGGUUUUUGAAUGCUUGGGGAUAGGUAUAAUGCUUUCCUUAGAGUGGACAGAAGGUCCAAGCAAGCAGAAGUGUAAGGAAGCUCUUCAGGGGCUGGGAUCAAGGGGGUGUGAUUCCUUCUUGAGAGGGAGCCAGGGAAGAAGCCUGGGAGAGUGUCUGCUGAAAACAUUUCAGAAAGCUUAGGAUGAGAUGGGCUAAAGUAGGAAGUAUCUGGAAAAAAGUGAAGAAGGGCAGGGAUUUUAGUACAGUUCACAGCAGCUUAGGGUACAUCUACACUGGAAUAAAAGCCCAUGGCUGGCCCGGCUCAGCUGACUCAGCCUCACAGGGAUCAGCCUGUGGAGGUAAAAAUUGCUGUGUAGAUGUUUGCGGUCAGGCUGGAGCCUCGGCUGGAUCCUCCCCCAUCACAGGGUCCCAGAGGUCAGGCUCCAGUCCAAACCUGAACGUCUACAGAGCAGUUUUGCAGCCUUGUAACCAAAACCCCGUGAGCACAAAUCAACUGACCUGGGCCAGCUGCAGGUGUUUAAUGGC